UACAGAGGUCCCGAGCGUUGUUCGGAUUCACUGGGCGUAAAGGGUGCGUAGGCGGCGCGGUAAGUCGGGUGUGAAAUCUCGGGGCUUAACUCCGAAACUGCAUUCGAUACUGCCGUGCUUGAGGACUGGAGAGGAGACUGGAAUUUACGGUGUAGCGGUGAAAUGCGUAGAUAUCGUAAGGAAGACCAGUGGCGAAGGCGGGUCUCUGGACAGUUCCUGACGCUGAGGCACGAAGGCCAGGGGGAGCAAAACGGGG
rnacentral:rRNA from 1 species